AGAGUUUGAUCAUGGCUCAGAUUGAACGCUGGCGGCAGGCCUAACACAUGCAAGUCGAGCGGAAACGAGUUAUCUGAACCUUCGGGGAACGAUAACGGCGUCGAGCGGCGGACGGGUGAGUAAUGCCUAGGAAAUUGCCCUGAUGUGGGGGAUAACCAUUGGAAACGAUGGCUAAUACCGCAUGAUGCCUACGGGCCAAAGAGGGGGACCUUCGGGCCUCUCGCGUCAGGAUAUGCCUAGGUGGGAUUAGCUAGUUGGUGAGGUAAGGGCUCACCAAGGCGACGAUCCCUAGCUGGUCUGAGAGGAUGAUCAGCCACACUGGAACUGAGACACGGUCCAGACUCCUACGGGAGGCAGCAGUGGGGAAUAUUGCACAAUGGGCGCAAGCCUGAUGCAGCCAUGCCGCGUGUGUGAAGAAGGCCUUCGGGUUGUAAAGCACUUUCAGUCGUGAGGAAGGUGGUGUAGUUAAUAGCUGCAUUAUUUGACGUUAGCGACAGAAGAAGCACCGGCUAACUCCGUGCCAGCAGCCGCGGUAAUACGGAGGGUGCGAGCGUUAAUCGGAAUUACUGGGCGUAAAGCGCAUGCAGGUGGUUUGUUAAGUCAGAUGUGAAAGCCCGGGGCUCAACCUCGGAAUAGCAUUUGAAACUGGCAGACUAGAGUACUGUAGAGGGGGGUAGAAUUUCAGGUGUAGCGGUGAAAUGCGUAGAGAUCUGAAGGAAUACCGGUGGCGAAGGCGGCCCCCUGGACAGAUACUGACACUCAGAUGCGAAAGCGUGGGGAGCAAACAGGAUUAGAUACCCUGGUAGUCCACGCCGUAAACGAUGUCUACUUGGAGGUUGUGGCCUUGAGCCGUGGCUUUCGGAGCUAACGCGUUAAGUAGACCGCCUGGGGAGUACGGUCGCAAGAUUAAAACUCAAAUGAAUUGACGGGGGCCCGCACAAGCGGUGGAGCAUGUGGUUUAAUUCGAUGCAACGCGAAGAACCUUACCUACUCUUGACAUCCAGAGAACUUUCCAGAGAUGGAUUGGUGCCUUCGGGAACUCUGAGACAGGUGCUGCAUGGCUGUCGUCAGCUCGUGUUGUGAAAUGUUGGGUUAAGUCCCGCAACGAGCGCAACCCUUAUCCUUGUUUGCCAGCGAGUAAUGUCGGGAACUCCAGGGAGACUGCCGGUGAUAAACCGGAGGAAGGUGGGGACGACGUCAAGUCAUCAUGGCCCUUACGAGUAGGGCUACACACGUGCUACAAUGGCGCAUACAGAGGGCGGCCAACUUGCGAAAGUGAGCGAAUCCCAAAAAGUGCGUCGUAGUCCGGAUUGGAGUCUGCAACUCGACUCCAUGAAGUCGGAAUCGCUAGUAAUCGUGGAUCAGAAUGCCACGGUGAAUACGUUCCCGGGCCUUGUACACACCGCCCGUCACACCAUGGGAGUGGGCUGC
rnacentral:rRNA from 1 species